rnacentral:piRNA from 1 species
AUGAACUCACUCUGAAGCUGUACA